AUGUAUGCAGAAAAUAAAGCUGUAGAUAGUUGUAAGAUUGGAGGACUUCUUGUGCGUGGUUUCAACAGUGAACAUAGGAUACCAUUACCGGAAACGUACACAAGAGAGAUCAUGCCUGCCAACAGAUCUCAUAUUCCGACACCGGAAAUUGCAAGAAGAUGGCCUCACUUGGAGGUUAUUGCAGAUGAACUUCUACCUCUUGCUGAUUGCGAGGUUGGAUUACUUAUUGGCUACAACUGCGUGAAGGCUUUGACGCCUAGAGAUGUUAUCGUUCCAUCCGUAGACGGACCUUAUGGUCAACGCACUGAUUUGGGGUGGAGUGUAAUAGGCAUAGUAGAGAAUGACUGUUCAACGGAAUGGGAUGAGGACCCCAUAGGAAUUAGUCAUCGUAUUGUUGCGUGCGAUGUGCCUACAGAACUUUGCAGAUCUGAAGUUUCAAGACCAGACCAUGUUGUAUUUUCCUUAAGGAACAAGAUAAAGGAAGUAAUCAACCCUGAAGAGGUAGUUAGGAUGCUUGAAGUGGACUUUAGCGAGAACUCAAAUAGUUCUAAACACAUUUCCUAUGAAGACAGAAAAUUUCUGGAUGCCAUGGAAAAGGGGAUUCAUAAGCUGGAUGGGCAUUAUGAAAUGCCAUUACCUUUCCGAGAAGCUAUGCCAUACCUGAGCAAUAAUAGAGACAUGGCAUUACAGCGACUGCAACAUUUGCGGAACCGAUUUGCAAAGGAUGCACAGUAUUGCGAGCAUUACAUUUCCUUCAUGAGAGAAUUGAUUUUGAAGGGUUUUGCAGAAAGAGUACCGGAAAAGGAAAUCAACGUUGAUAGUGGACAAGCAUGCAAGCCAAGUAUAUCAGAGGACGAUCCUGAGGUUAAGCGUUGCCAGGUGUUUGAGACGAAGGUGGAACCUACUGAAUAUAUGUCACUAAUUGACUAUUUAGAACGUUGUUCUGAUUGGAAUCGUGCCAAGAGACUCAUAGCAAACUGUCUUAAGUUCAAGACGUUGCUUCGAAAGAUUCCUUGUCAGAAGGCAACAGAUGCAGUGCCUUCAAAGGAGCAAGGAUUGCCUGUAGCUUUAUUAGAGGAAGCAGAAAUGGCCAUUGUGAGAUUAGUCCAGAAAGAGGCCUUUAGUGAAGAAUUGAAAAUUCUGAACAACACCAAGGGAUGUGAAGAUGUUAACAAUACAUAUGCAAGCGAGGAUGGGUUGGUCCGUAGUGUUAGAUUAGCUAUCGGAGACAGCAAUCUGGACAAGAAAGGCAAGAGGAACGGUCAGCUUUCAACACUUGAAAGACCUAUUCACAAGUUAGUCUUGUUGUUGGAGAACGAGACCGGGGAAGACCCCACCGAGGAGCCAUAUUAG
rnacentral:sRNA from 1 species